GACGAACGCUGGCGGCGUGCCUAAUACAUGCAAGUUGAGCGCUGAAGGUUGGUACUUGUACCAACUGGAUGAGCAGCGAACGGGUGAGUAACGCGUGGGGAAUCUGCCUUUGAGCGGGGGACAACAUUUGGAAACGAAUGCUGAUACCGCAUAAAAACUUUAAACACAAGUUUUAAGUUUGAAAGAUGCAAUUGCAUCACUCAAAGAUGAUCCCGCGUUGUAUUAGCUAGUUGGUGAGGUAAAGGCUCACCUAGGCGAUGAUACAUAGCCGACCUGAGAGGGUGAUCGGCCACAUUGGGACUGAGACACGGCCCAAACUCCUACGGGAGGCAGCAGUAGGGAAUCUUCGGCAAUGGACGAAAGUCUGACCGAGCAACGCCGCGUGAGUGAAGAAGGUUUUCGGAUCGUAAAACUCUGUUGGUAGAGAAGAACGUUGGUGAGAGUGGAAAGCUCAUCAAGUGACGGUAACUACCCAGAAAGGGACGGCUAACUACGUG
rnacentral:rRNA from 1 species